rnacentral:rRNA from 1 species
UCCUACGGGAGGCAGCAGUGAGGAAUAUUGGUCAAUGGGCGAGAGCCUGAACCAGCCAAGUAGCGUGAGGGACGACGGCCCUACGGGUUGUAAACCUCUUUUGCACGGGAAUAAAGUGCACUACGCGUAGUGCUUUGCAUGUACCGUGAGAAUAAGGACCGGCUAAUUCCGUGCCAGCAGCCGCGGUAAUACGGAAGGUCCGGGCGUUAUCCGGAUUUAUUGGGUUUAAAGGGAGCGCAGGCCGGUGCUUAAGCGUGACGUGAAAUGCCGCGGCUCAACCGUGGAAGUGCGUCGCGAACUGGGUGCCUUGAGUGAGUUCGACGUAGGCGGAAUUCGUGGUGUAGCGGUGAAAUGCUUAGAUAUCACGAAGAACCCCGAUUGCGAAGGCAGCCUACGAGGCCUCAACUGACGCUAAAGCUCGAAGGUGCGGGUAUCGAACAGGAUUAGAUACCCUGGUAGUCC